CCUACGGGUGGCAGCAGUGAGGAAUAUUGGUCAAUGGGCGAGAGCCUGAACCAGCCAAGUCGCGUGAGGGAGUACUGCCCUAUGGGUUGUAAACCUCUUUUGUCGGGGAGCAAAAGCCGGACGUGUCCGGCUGUGAGAGUACCCGACGAAAAAGCAUCGGCUAACUCCGUGCCAGCAGCCGCGGUACUACGGAGGAUGCGAGCGUUAUCCGGGUUUAUUGGGUUUAAAGGGUGCGCAGGCGGAUUUUUAAGUCAGCGGUAAAAUCGUGGGGCUCAACCCCAUCCAGCCGUUGAAACUGGGGAUCUAGAGUGUGCGUGAGGUAUGCGGAAUGCGUGGUGUAGCGGUGAAAUGCAUAGAUAUCACGCAGAACCCCGAUUGCGAAGGCAGCAUACCGGUGCACAACUGACGCUCAGGCACGAAAGCGUGGGUAUCGAACAGGAUUAGAUACCCGGGUAGUC
rnacentral:rRNA from 1 species